GACGAACGCUGGCGGCGUGCCUAACACAUGCAAGUCGAGCGGAGGCGGAGGAUAGCCCAGCGAUGGGAAGGAAUCGGCUUUAGCGGCGAACGGGUGAGUAACACGUGGGUAAUCUGCCCUCUGGAGCGGGAUAACAGACCGAAAGGCCUACUAAUACCGCAUGAGGCCGGACCUUCGCAUGGAGGAGCGGUCAAAGGGGAAACCCGCCGGAGGAGGAGCCCGCGUCCCAUUAGCUAGUUGGCGGUGUAACGGACCACCAAGGCGAUGAUGGGUAGCCGGCCUGAGAGGGUGAACGGCCACAUUGGGACUGAGACACGGCCCAGACUCCUACGGGGGGCAGCAGUGAGGGAUUUUCGGCAAUGGGCGAAAGCCUGACCGAGCGACGCCGCGUGAGCGAAGAAGGCCUUCGGGUCGUAAAGCUCUGUCUAGGGGGAAGAGAACGGACGGUACCCCUGGAGGAAGCCACGGCUAACUACGUGCCAGCCGCCGCGGUAAUAC
rnacentral:rRNA from 1 species